UUCUCCUUCAGUGUUUUCGAAAACUCCAGAACCACCGAGAGUCAUUUUGUUCAUUCUCUACUCAUCUCCUCCUCACCGUUGUCCUUUAAUUCUUCCCUCACCGUUGCUGAGCUUGCUUGUUUCUUCUCCGUUGAGGAUCUGCCAUGAAACGGCACUGCUUCUGGUUUCCCCUGUCUCUGGUUGCUGCCGAUUUUUGAUCACUGUUGAUGAAGUGUGCUUAGUCUUUGCAUCUUAUUCCUCCUUAGCUGCUGCUGUGUUCAGAUCACCGUGAAUCUGCCACUGUCGAGGCCGAACUCAUAAAUUUGUCUGCUCCUCUGUUCAUCUACUGGUCUUCUCUUCAUGCGACGGUGAUGCCUGAAUCUUUCUUCUCCUCUAUUAAUGUGCUGCCAUGGGAUCGCCUCCCAUCUGUGCUUUGUGUGGAUGUUCCAAGAUCUUCUUCUCCCUCCUUCGCUCUGCGUCCUACUUUCUCCAUUUUUGCUUGACUAGAACCUUUUCUUGUUCUGCUCUGUCGUGAUCACACGUGAGUUAGGGAGGUUCAACUUCUUCUCUUCAUUUCUUUACUGCCUUGGUGAUGGUAUAGUUGAAUUCGUGACUCGAGAUAUCCACUGAGGAGUGUUAUUGCUGAAUUGAAGCUGAAGAAUUAUUUUUGUCAAAUCCUAAAUUGAUGAAAAAUUUGAACUUCAUACCUACGUUGGUGUCUGGCCUUAGAUGCUCCACGUAGACUACAGGAGAAAGCAGCAUGGAACACAUCAAUGCUUGGGGCCAUAAGAGGUUUCAUAUAAAAAAGAACACGACAGACUUCAUUGAAUAUAAUGCAAGUCCCCAGACUACUCAUAGAAUUAUUGGGCAUAGUCAGGAAGGCUCACCUCCCAACAUACGGAGGAACAAUAUCAGUUUCCCGUGAAUAAAGAUUCUUAAAAAAAAUCCAAUGCCCAAGUACUCAAACUCUUCACUAAAACACCAUUAUUCACUAUCCUCACCUUUAAGCGUCAGCACCCUUUUCCUUCUAGAUUUCCUCAUAACCUUUCACUGAUAAUAGGCUGCAUUGUGAUCCCCAAAGUUUAACGUAUCGCAUCUCGCUUGCUGUGCCCAUAAACUAUUCUUCUGUUCCUAAAUCAUUUCAAACUCCUUUAAUUAGUACUACCUCAAGUCUCGGAAGGUAAUUAGAAUGUAAUAUUCAUAAUUCAUUAUGUAAUUAUAACCUUAUAUAAGUAGGCAUAAUUAAUUUCAUGGAGGCUUGAUAUAUCAAAUGUUAAACAAGAAAUUUGACUUAUAAAUUAUGAAUUUUUACUUGUACAUUAUCAAGUUGCAUUUGUAAAUAAAAACCAAAUUAAGAGGGAUAGCAUUGUCUUUAAAUUAUAUUUAGGUUUCAAGGAACUUUGCUGAAGCUUCUAAAUUUCGUGGAACAUAUUUUAUUAUUUGUAAAUACGUAUGUUAUACAACAUCAAGGAACUUUGCUGUAAUUUCUGAAUAAAUUUGCUCACUGGCUGAAAAAAAAAAUCUUGUGCCAAAAAAAUAUUAACCAAAUUUUUGAAAAUUUGAGAGAGUGGGUGAUUUACAUUGAUACAUAAUAAGUUUAUUAUUGACAAUUUGAAAAUUUACUAAGGGUUUAUAAUUGAUAUAACAACGUUAUAUCAUUGAUAAAUAUAAUAAAUUGAUUAUAAUAUAAUGUAUAAUAAAUGUUGGAUUGUUUGCUUAGUUUGAUCGACCUAUAAUAUGAGCUAUAUCUAGAAAAGCCCCUACUUUUUGCUAGUUUUUUUCCUCAAAAUAUUUGACUAGUCCUUCUUUCUAAUUUUCUCUAAGAAAACAAAUUAAAAACAAAAUAGUAGAACAUCACGUGACAGACAAUUUUUACUAUGCCACAUGAUGGUCUCGCACUUAUGGGCAGUAAUGGAAGUACAUGAUUUUUAAAAUAAAAUCGCAUUUAAUAAAAAAAAAAUACUUUGCGUAUUGUAGCCCCAUGAUUUGAAAGAAACAGAAAAGUCAGAACUCCACAAAUCACAUGACGCUCCGAUAUUGAUAAUUAAGCAACAAUUUUGAUGCUUUCGUCUGAAACAUUAUAUAUAACCCAUGGAUAUCUCCAUGAAUCUAAUUUCUUACCUCCUUA